rnacentral:rRNA from 1 species
AUUGAACGCUGGCGGCAGGCCUACCACAUGCAAGUCGAACGAGUGGCGGACGGGUGAGUCAUGUCUGGGAAACUGCCUGAUGGAGGGGGCUAACUACUGGAAACGGUAGCUAAUACCGCAUCCCAUCGGAUGUGCCCAGAUGGGAUUAGCUCGUAGGUGGGGUAAAGGCUCACCUAGGCGACGAUCCCUAGCUGGUCUGAGAGGAUGACCAGCCACCAUGGAACGGAUACACGGUCCAGACGCAGACGGGAGGAAGCAGUGGGGAAUAUUGCACAAUGGGCGCAAGCAUGAUGCAGCCAUGCCGCGUGUAUGAAGGAGGCCUUCGGGUUGUAAAGUACGUUCAGCGGGGAGGCGUUACUCGCAGAAGAAGCACCGGCUAACUCCGUGCCAGCAGCCGCGGUAAUUC